UCAAGUCUUAGCCAGUCUCGUGCAAUCAAUCAAGAGCUUGGACUGCGUCGGCGGUCAGGCAGUCCCUCGACGGGCGGAGUAGUCGAGGCGCAGACUGGCGCUGCCUAUUCGCCGCGACACUAAAGCGAUGGUGGUAGAGAUGCGGAGGUUGGCGCGGGCGGAGACGGCCUGGGGCGCGACGGAGUGGAGAAGUCUGAAACAGGGGUGAGGGAUGCCGCCUGUGGUGAUGACUGAAGCGGUGCCCCGGAGGCUGAGGUGGACGCGGAGGCGGCGGGAAUCCAAAGGCACAAACAAAUUUGAGUGAACAAGAUGCUGAAUCCAUUCAAUUGACGCACAAUUUGGAAUUAAAUUAAAAUCAAGACUGAUUUUGACAGCAGGGAGAAGGAUUAAAAUUCAGAAAAUUAUAAAACACAAAUUAACAAAAACUAAAGAAGAAGAAACCUAUUGGCUGCUGCUGCCGAACGGAGGAGGUGGCGAGGGCUUCGGGUGAGUGCAGGAGGAGCGGCGAGAUCGGGCGGAGGCACGGCGGAACGAGAGCAGGCGACUGGAGUUAGGGCUCCCAAUGUCUUCUUCGACUGGAGGAGAGACGCGGUGGGUAGGCGCGGCGAGGCGAGGGCUGCCGGCGACUGGAGAUAGAGCUCCCAAUGUCUUCUUCGACUGGAGGCGGAGGUUGAGGUUCAGGGGGUGCAGCGGCGCUAGGGCGGAGCGGGUGCAAGGAGGAGGCUAGGUCAAAGUGGUGUGGAGGUAAACAUAGGAAAAAAUAUCUGAUUCAAAACUUGAAUAAUAGACGACAAGAGGAGGAUGUCGUCUAUUAUAGA
rnacentral:lncRNA from 1 species